UACGUAGGGACCAAGCGUUGUUCGGAUUUACUGGGCGUAAAGGGCGCGUAGGCGGCUUAACAAGUCACUUGUGAAAUCUCCGGGCUUAACUCGGAACGGCCAAGUGAAACUGUCAAGCUAGAGUGCAGAAGGGGCAAUCGGAAUUCUUGGUGUAGCGGUGAAAUGCGUAGAUAUCGAGAGGAACACCUGCGGCGAAGGCGGGUUGCUGGGCCGACACUGACGCUGAUGCGCGAAAGCCAGGGGAGCGAACGGG
rnacentral:rRNA from 1 species